rnacentral:lncRNA from 1 species
CAGAAGCCUCCUCUCAGUCUCGCCCUGCCCUGGAUUUAGAGUCAUGCCCUGACUGUAAAGUGCGAGAUGUUCUUUGAUGUCUCUUCAGCAGUGCACGGCUCCUCUUCGCUGCUCCUCGCCAUCAUCUGCAGCAAUUUCCUAGAGCCAGAGGAGGGAUGUGUUUGGAGCAGGCCCCUUGCUGACAAGGUGUGAACAGAUUGAUGGCCGUCCCGUCCCACCUGGCGGCACAGGAAUACACGCAGCCUGAGCGGGCUGCCGGGAAUCCCCCUCCCAACCUGAGCCCUGCAGAAACAGGUUUUGGCUUUGAAUGAGAGCAGAGGUCACAUUCAGAAAGAGAGAAGGGUGUGUACAUGUGUGUAAGCGUGGUGGGAGCUCAGAAGAAUGUAAGUUUGGGAUCUGAAAGCAUCGCACUCCUGAACUAUGAUUAUUUAUUAUGCUGAUAGUGCCUAGAGGGCCCAGCCUCAUUGUGCUAAGGACUUCACAGGCACAGAAUGAAGAGACAGUCCCUGCCUGGAAGACGGAUGAGGAAAACCUACCUACAGGGGCUGGGAACAGGUGUGGCAUCUAUCCAUCACGCUGAUGGAGUGUGUUUGCAAGAUGGGUAUGUGAGCGUGUGCGAGUGUAGGGGAGACAGCAGGAGAAGGAGAAAGUUGGAUGGUGAUUUUAAUCUCUCUGGCUCUAAAGAAGGGUUUUAUUUUUUCUUUUAACCUCACCUUUCUUCUCCAGUAGUGAUUAUCCACAGGUGACACGGGAGAAAUAGGAAAACAGGAGGGCUGAACACUGCUGUUUCCCUGCAUCUCCAGCCAGCAGCGGCUGUGGGCUUCUUCUGAGCUCGUGGACUUCCUCCUCCAAGGCACUUCCAGCAGCAGUUACCUAGAGGAAAGCACAAGGGCAGACUGAGCGUGUUUCUUCGGAUAGUUUUACAGCAUGCUGGUGGCCAGCAGGAUUGUUUGAAGGAGGAGAAACCUGCUUCAUGCAUCCCAUGUCCCUGCAUCUUCUGGAAGCUGGACAGGUUCCGCAGCUCUCGAGGCCCUCUCCAAGCAGGAGUCCUGGGCUGAUGGAAGUGGGCAGUGUCUUCUCCAGAAGCACCCAGCCAGGAGCCAGCUAACAAAAGAAAUCCAGAGAAGAGCAAAAAGCGUUGUGUUUAUGAAGAACAAUUGAACAGGCCAGACAUCUCCAGCCUGUGAGGGAUACAGCAGAGGUCUAUAAAAUCAUGAGUGGCCUGGAAAAAAAUGAAUUGAUUGCUGCUCUUACCUGUUUCCAGAAAAAGCACUUUCAGAAGAAACCAAAGCUCCAGGAGCUCGUGUUCAAGAAGUGAAACGGAGCCAACAUCUGAUUAAGGCAGAUUCGGUCAGGUCAGGGAAAUGAGCUUCCCCAGGGACUUUCUACUGCUGCUGAAAGAGCUCAAGGUUUAAGACUCCUAUCUGCCCCACAGAAACAGAAAUGAUGGGAAUGUGGUUGCCACAGAUGAGGUAACAACAGCAAGCUGAAGUGGCUUUGAUUUAUUUUUUUUAUUCUUCUCAGUACAAGGGACAGCAGCAUAGGAGUACAUGCGAUAGUGGUGGUUGACCAGAGGUUUGUGCAGCGGUGACCUGAGAAAGCAUACUGAUACGAAUCAUAUGUGCAUGGAUGUGUACUUACAUACAUGUUUUUUUUAGCUACCUGUGGCUCAGUUUCAGAGAAGCUCAGCUCUGGUUCCCAUUACAGAUUUACUCAAGUGAAAAUUUGUUGGAAUGGAAAAAGAUUGGUAAUAACUAAAAAUAGCAGUUGACCUCUACUAUGUGUUUCCACCUAUGUUUACUUUUAAGACAGCGAUAAUGAUUAUUUGUGGAAUAUCUUCAAAUAAACAAGAAAGUGGGC